rnacentral:lncRNA from 1 species
CAGUUUAAGUUUGAGGGGGUAUUUACCUAUUUCUAUUUUUAUUUUCGUAUUUUUUAUUUCUGUUUUUUUAAUUGGAGUUUGAGUUGAAGAGAAAGAGAAAAGGGAAGUUGUAGAAAGUAAAAAAAAAUAGGGUUAUGGUAAAAGUAAUGUUGUAAAGCGUAAGAGGUUUAUAUAGAUGUGGAAAUAAAACUGUUUCAGCUUUCCCUCAUAAAUUAAAAUGCUAACAUUUUGAUUGUUG